GGACACAAACUUGAAGUAGAAUAGUUUGGUGGGGUUAGCCGAUCCUACUGAUCUACUCUACUUCAGAUUCGGUCCC
rfam:Haemonchus placei strain MHpl1 genome assembly, scaffold: HPLM_scaffold0003935